UCAGUGUAUCUUUUUGGGAGACACAAUUCAACCCAUAGCAGUAUCACAAAGACAAAUAAAGACAAAUUUUGGGAUGGGAAUUUGUGUGUAAAUGAUUUAUUAGGAUAUGACCCCAAGAAAAAUACAGUAGGAGAGUGGGGAAAUGGGGAUGGUAAGGGAAGAAGACCAAUCAAGGGUAAUCAAGUGGUAUCCAGCUGAGGAUAAUUUUUGCUCAAUCCAGCCAUGGAUUUCUGGGGACAGUAUAGAUCAUAACUCUGAGUUGGAAACCGACCCUCCUGACACCUUAAUUUUGGGCUUCCAGCCUCCAGAACUGUGAGAAAAUAAAUUUCUAUUGUUUAAGGCACUGAGUCUGUGGUAUUUUGUUUUGGCAACCCUAGCAAACUAACGCAGUAGCCAUUGACAAGCAGACUGAUGCUGGCUCAUGGAAGUGAGAGCACCCUGGGGGCAGGUGUUCAUGGAGUGGGAGAGGAAUCUGAGAGAAUACAGGAAGAUAUGCCUGGUGUCUGCUCUGGCCUUAACCCUUCAUUCCAAGUGAACCAUUUCUAGAAUGCGGGCUUCUUGUCUCCACAACUUCAGCCUUUGCUCCAUUAGACAUUCAGAUUUCCAGAAAGCCAAAGAGACCGAGAAUAGCUACUUGGAAGACAUCCUACCUGCCGUUUCAUCUAGGCAACCAGUAUCAAUGGAACCAGUCAGAAUGUGAGGGACUGAAGAUAUAGGAGUGAAUAGAAGUCCGUAUACCUGUCAAUCAAGCCAUAAACAAACUAGAAAAUAAAUAAAUAACAAUCUUAAAAUCCUAAAUUUUCUUACUCCGCAAGCUUGAAUCUUUCAAUGGAUCUGAAACCUCUUACAGGAGAGAAAGUUCUUUCAGCAGCUGCUUGCUCAGGCUGCUCAUUAAAGUCGGCUUUUGUUUGCAUGCUGACUUUAAACACAAGGCAAAGUUUGUUUCUUCCACAUUACCUCAUAAGCUUGUUGUGAAGUUAAAAUGAGAUCAUCCAUGCAAAACUCUGCACAUUGCCUAGUUUAUAGUAAAUGCUCAAUAAAUGUUAGCUAUUUUUAUUAUCUGAUCCCUUUCUCUAUCCUCCCUGGGCUUACAGAGUUUGGAAUCCUAAUACUUUUUGCCUUGUUAUAUUUGCAAUAGCCUCCCAAAAGGUUUUCCCAUAUCUAAUAUAACCUUCCACCACCUUUCAUAUGUAUUAUGUAUUGCCACCAGAUUAAAUGUUCAGAUUAAUAAAUCUGGACCAUUCAGGUUUCUGAUCAAAUGUCUUUAAUGAGUUCACUCCUUAACCAGGUAUUCAAGACCUGCCACUGCUUAGCUCCAUUCUAAUUUUAGUUCCCCUUAUGUUCCAUAAUGAACACUAUAUUCUGGUUGAAAUAACUCGUUUGCUGUUCUUUUAAGUGACCCAACAUUUCCUUUCAACCUGGAAUGCCCCACUGCCUGCCCCACCCC